UAUCUUCGGGGCAGGGUGAAAUUCCCUACCGGUGGUCAAAGCCCACUAACCUCAUUUGAGGCCGAUGCGGUGAAAUUCCGCAGCCGACGGUUACAGUCCGGAUGACAGAAGAU
rnacentral:ncRNA from 1 species